UUCCGGUUGAUCCUGCCGGACCUGACUGCUAUCGGAUUGAUACUAAGCCAUGCGAGUCUUUGUAGUAAUACAAGGCAGACGGCUCAGUAACACGUAGUCAACCUACCCUAUGGACGAGAAUAAUCUCGGGAAACUGAGCAUAAUUCUCGAUAGAUCAUAAUGCCUGGAAUGGUUUAUGGUUAAAAUGAUUCGUCGCCAUAGGAUGGGACUGCGGCCUAUCAGCUUGUUGGUGAGGUAAUGGCCCACCAAGGCGAUUACAGGUACGGGCUCUGAGAGGAGAAGCCCGGAGAUGGGUACUGAGACACGGACCCAGGCCCUAUGGGGCGCAGCAGGCGAGAAAACUUUGCAAUGUGCGAAAGCACGACAAGGCUAAUCCGAGUGAUUUCUGCUAAAGAAAUCUUUUGUCAGUCAUAAAACCACUGACGAAUAAGGGGUGGGCAAGUUCUGGUGUCAGCCGCCGCGGUAAAACCAGCACCUCAAGUGGUCAGGAUGAUUAUUGGGCCUAAAGCAUCCGUAGCCGGCUUUGUUAGUUUUCGGUUAAAUCCAUGUGCUCAACACAUGGGCUGCCGAAAAUACUGCAUGGCUAGGGAGUGGGAGAGGUAGACGGUACUCAGUAGGAAGGGGUAAAAUCCUUUGAUCUAUUGAUGACCACCUGUGGCGAAGGCGGUCUACCAGAACACGUUCGACGGUGAGGGAUGAAAGCUGGGGGAGCAAACCGGAUUAGAUACCCGGGUAGUCCCAGCUGUAAACGAUGCAGACUCGAUGAUGCAUUGGCAUAAUAGCCAGUGCAGUGUCGCAGGGAAGCCGUUAAGUCUGCCGCCUGGGAAGUACGUACGCAAGUAUGAAACUUAAAGGAAUUGGCGGGGGAGCACCACAAGGGGUGAAGCCUGCGGUUCAAUUGGAAUCAACGCCGG
rnacentral:rRNA from 1 species